rnacentral:rRNA from 1 species
GACGAACGCUGGCGGCGUGCUUAACACAUGCAAGUCGAACGCGCCUGUCCUCUGGGUUUCUGGGGGGUGGGUGAGUGGCGAACGGGUGAGUAACACGUGAGUAACCGGCCCCCUUCUUCGGGAUAACGGUCUGAAAGGGCUGCUAAUACCGGGUAUUCACUGGUCUCCGCAUGGGGUCUGGUGGAAAGGUUUUUUUCUGGUGGGGGAUGGGCUCGCGGCCUAUCAGCUUGUUGGUGGGGUGAUGGCCCACCAAGGCUUUGACGGGUAGCCGGCCUGAGAGGGUGACCGGUCACAUUGGGACUGAGAUACGGCCCAGACUCCUACGGGAGGCAGCAGUGGGGAAUAUUGCACAAUGGGCGCAAGCCUGAUGCAGCGACGCCGCGUGAGGGAUGGAGGCCUUCGGGUUGUGAACCUCUUUCGCCCGUGGUCAAGCCGCGACGUGGGUCGUGGUGAGGGUAGUGGGUACAGAAGCGCCGGCUAACUACGUG